rnacentral:tRNA from 1 species
GAGGGUGUAGCUCAAGUGGUAGAGCUCAUGCUUAGCAUCCACCAGGUCUGGGUUCAAUCCCCAGCACCUCCU